rnacentral:rRNA from 1 species
GACGAACGCUGGCGGCGUGCUUAACACAUGCAAGUCGAACGGAAAGGCCCUGCUUUUGUGGGGUGCUCGAGUGGCGAACGGGUGAGUAACACGGGAGUAACCUGCCCUUGACUUUGGGAUAACGUCAGGAAACUGGGGCUAAUACCGGAUAGGAGCUCCUGCUGCAUGGUGGGGGGUGGAAAGUUUCGGCGGUUGGGGAUGGACUCGCGGCUUAUCAGCUUGGUGGUGGGGUAGUGGCUUACCAAGGCUUUGACGGGUAGCCGGCCUGAGAGGGUGACCGGCCACAUUGGGACUGAGAUACGGCCCAGACUCCUACGGGAGGCAGCAGUGGGGAAUAUUGCACAAUGGGCGGAAGCCUGAUGCAGCAACGCCGCGUGCGGGAUGACGGCCUUCGGGUUGUAAACCGCUUUCGCCUGUGACGAAGCGUGAGUGACGGUAAUGGGUAAAGAAGCACCGGCUAACUACGUG